rnacentral:tRNA from 1 species
GAGGGUAUAGCUCAGUGGUAGAGCGCAUGCCUAGCAUGCAUGAGGUCCUGGAUUUAAUCCCCAGUACCACCA